rnacentral:rRNA from 1 species
GACGAACGCUGGCGGCGUGCUUAACACAUGCAAGUCGAACGGAAAGGCCCUGCUUGCAGGGUACUCGAGUGGCGAACGGGUGAGUAACACGUGGGUGAUCUGCCCUGCACUUCGGGAUAAGCCUGGGCAACUGGGUCUAAUACCGGACAGGAGACAUUUUGAGUGUGAUGGUUGGAAAGUUUUUUCGGUGUAGGAUGAGUUCGCGGGCUAUCGGCUUGCUGGUGUGGUAAUGGCCUGCCGAGGCGGCGGCGGGUAGCCGGCCUGAGGGGGUGGACGGCGACCCUGGGACUUAGGUGAGGCCGCGACUCCUACUGGAGGGCGAAGUGGGGAAUCUUGCCCGAUGGGCGCCAGCUUAGUGAAGCGACGCUGCGUGGGGGAUGACGGUCUUAGGGUUGUAAAACACUUUCGCUAGGGACGAAGCUUUUUGUGACGGUACCUAGAUAAAAAGCCCCGGCUAACUACGUG